CACAUAUUUAAUCCCAUCACUGGAGAGACAGAGGAGAUCCCUGUGAAUUUAAGACCUGCCUGUUCUACAUGGCAAGUUCCAGACCAGCUAAGGCUGCAUAGCGAGACUCCGUUUUGGGGGAAAAAAAGUAAAAAAGAAUUAAGGUUGUUUUUGCAACCUGAAUUACAGUUCCAGCUGUGCUCUGAAGGAUGCAGAGAGACACAGUAGAUCAUUCAGGAAAUGAUAACACAUUCAGGAUGGACAUGAAUAAUUUAAGUCUAGAUUUGAGGGAAAAUGAGAAGACAUAUUAUAGAAUCUCAGUGAAUGAUUAGGUUUGCAGCUAGAAGUCAGUUGGUGUCGGGGAUGACUUUUUCACUUAGACAAUUUCUAGGUUCUCUUCCCCAGCACUGGGGAAGUUGGGAAUGGGAGACAUUGUAAGUGACAAAGAGCUCAGUCUCUGCUCCCAGAUCCUUUGGGCUCCACUGUAGCUCCUCCUGCUGUACCUGUGAGGGGAUUUUCUUAUUAUUAUUGUAUUUAUUUAUCUAUUUAUUCUUUUCACAUGUAUAUACGUGUACAGGUGAAUGGAGAUCAGAGGACAACUUGUGGAAGCCAGUUCUCUCCUUCCCGUAGGUGGGUUCCAGAGAUCCAAGUCAGGUUGUCAGGACCUUGGAACAAAAACACCUUAUCUGCUGAACCACCCAGGCUCAUGUAGUUUUGAGUGGGAUGCUUGAGCUCUCUGUGUCUCAGUUGCCUCAUCUGUAAGAUGAAGAAAAAUGAAGUCAGAAGGCUAAAUAAUAGAGUGCACAGAAAGGCCGAAUUUUGGAUAGAAUCACUUUACAGAAUAGAGAGAAAGUAGUGCCCAUGUUAUAUAAGCUGCCUAGUGUGUUUCUCUUUGUUACUGCAUCCCAGAAGAACUGAGACAGAGAUGUUAGUGACUGUGGACUCUUCCUGUAACUAAAGUAACAACAGUAGUAAAUGUAUACAUACCAAAGUAAAGUAUGAGAAAGCUCCCAGCCCGGCCUAUAAUAGCCCUCGAAUUGAAGAUGACCAAAUACUCAUGAACAGAAGAACUGAAUAUCCCAAUGGAAUCAGCAGAGGAGUGAAACUGGGAGUUCAGUUGGCCAAGCGUGAUGGGUUAUGCCCUUUUCAUUAGUUACUUUCUGUCGCUGUGAUAAAACGACAUGACCAAAGCAACUUAUACAAAGAAGAUGUCUUAACUGGGGUCUCUAUUGCUGGGAAGAGGCCCCAUGGCCACGGCAACCCUCAUAAAGGAAAACGUUUAGUUGGGGCUGGCUUACAAUUC
ensembl:lncRNA